rnacentral:rRNA from 1 species
AGCGAACGCUGGCGGCAGGCUUAACACAUGCAAGUCGAACGGGCACUUCGGUGUCAGUGGCAGACGGGUGAGUAACGCGUGGGAACAUACCUCUUGGUUCGGAACAACACAGGGAAACUUGUGCUAAUACCGGAUAAGCCCUUACGGGGAAGAUUUAUCGCCGAGAGAUUGGCCCGCGUCUGAUUAGCUAGUUGGUGUGGUAAAAGCGCACCAAGGCGACGAUCAGUAGCUGGCUGAGAGGAUGAUCAGCCACAUUGGGACUGAGACACGGCCCAAACUCCUACGGGAGGCAGCAGUGGGGAAUAUUGGACAAUGGGCGCAAGCCUGAUCCAGCCAUGCCGCGUGAGUGAUGAAGGCCCUAGGGUUGUAAAGCUCUUUUGUACGGGAAGAUAAUGACGGUACCGUAAGAAUAAGCCCCGGCUAACUUCGUGCCAGCAGCCGCCGCUGUAAU